rnacentral:rRNA from 1 species
UACGGAGGGGGCUAGCGUUGUUCGGAAUUACUGGGCGUAAAGCGCACGUAGGCGGCUUUGUAAGUUAGAGGUGAAAGCCCGGGGCUCAACUCCGGAACUGCCUUUAAGACUGCAUCGCUAGAAUUGUGGAGAGGUGAGUGGAAUUCCUGGUGUAGCGGUGGAAUGCGCAGAUAUCAGGAGGAAUACCCAUAGCGAAGGCAGCUCGCUGGGACGUUACUGACGCUGAGGCGCGAAAGCGUGGGGAGCGAACAGG